CAUAGAAACACCGGUUCCCGUUCGAUCAUCGAAGUUAAGCAACGUCGAUCCUGGUCAGUAACUAGAUGAAAUACCGCUUGUGAAUAGCAGGUGUU